rnacentral:lncRNA from 1 species
UUCGUUACCAAUUACACCACUAAAAUUAUUUGAACAACAAAUGUCUGGGUAAAUUCAAUAAAGAUAGAUUUGCUCACACUCGACUUUGUCGAGCACGAUGUAAUAGAUUUCAAUAAUCUUUUAAUUAUUAGCAUUCUAGAACUCUAAAUAUUUGGUGAAAACAACAAACAUGCAUUCAUGUGCUCACAGAGUGGCCAUAUUAAGUGAAAGUAAGAAAAAAUUAUGAAAAACAAAGAAGAUGAACAGAAGAGAAGUAAAAGAAGAAAAAUAUAUACGAUCGUAGGAUUCACAUGAUUAAGGGCAUGUUUUCUAAUAUGAGAGCUGAUAUCCCAUCCCUCACUCACUUUUGACACGUUAAUAAUAUAGCGCACUCUGUCGACACAAUACCCCCCCCCCCCCCCCCCCCCCCCCCCCCCCCCCCCCCCCCCCCCCCCCCCCCCCCCCCCCCCCCCCCCCCCCCCCCCCCCCCCCCCCCCCCCCCCCCCCCCCCCCCCCCCCCCCCC